rnacentral:rRNA from 1 species
GGUUAAGUCCGCAACGAGCGCAACCCUCGACCUUAGUUGCCAGCAUUCAGUUGGGCACUCUAAGUGACUGCCGGCUAAAAGUCGGAGGAAGGUGGGGAUGACGUCAAAUCAUCAUGCCCCUUAUGACCUGGGCUACACACGUGCUACAAUGGGCGGUACAAAGGGUCGCGAACCCGCGAGGGGGAGCCAAUCCCAAAAAGCCGCUCUCAGUUCGGAUUGCAGGCUGCAACUCGCCUGCAUGAAGCCGGAAUCGCUAGUAAUCGCGGAUCAGCAUGCCGCGGUGAAUACGUUCCCGGGCC